AGCCACCGCGCCCGGCCGUGUUUAAGCAAGUUUUAAAAAUACAUAAAUCCAUUGUGGCACAAUGUAAUAUGUAUCACCAUGCUACACCUGCGGACGCUUCCGAGCGGCUGCCAUGUCUGUGCAGUCAGGAAUGAUAAGUGAACCACCCGUGAAUGUUAACGAUAGUGAUCAUUCUGAGACCACAAGGCAAUAGCAUAUAACAGAAGGAAAGGCUUCAAGCUAAUGACACCCUUUAAUAAAGGUCUGGUCACUUGGGGUAUACUGUGGAUUUAUCAUCAAGAAGGUAAACUAAAACUCCCCACUCUUCUGAAAAGCCCAGUAAAGAGCAUGAAUGAACCUAGGGCACGCCUCUUUAAAAAAGCAGCUCAUCGUUCCCUUUCUGCAGAGCCAAGAGAAGCCAAGGUAGUCUCUGGGAGCCUGCCCAAGGCAGCCCAGCUUCUGGGCUAAGACCUUCCACUGUUACCUGACAGCUGUUACCCAAAGAGCUCUUGGUUAGAACUGUUCCUUCCUCAUGUUCCUCUAAUAUAUCAAAUAUUUAAAGGAAAAUACAUAUAUAUAUAGGAGACAGUUUAACUGCUCUGACUUCUAACCUAAGGAGAUUCUGACCAUUUUAUUGGCCUUGACUUUUUUUUUUUUCCUUUAAUGCCCUUCUUCCCCCACUCCAGAGUAGAAUCCUGGCAUGAAACUUUAAUGUCAACACAUAUAAGGUAAUAAUACUACCACAGUUGUUUUUGUCAUUGCCACUUUUGAACUCAAUUCAGUCUCACAAAUUCUGACUAAAUUAGGUCUGUGUUGGGAAUGGGAGAAGGAGACGAACAAGGCAGGUCCCUAUCCUUGAGAGGCACUUAGCCCACUCAAGAUCUCAUUCUCCCUUGUCCUACUUUGUCUAAAGGAACAGUAGGCUUUGGCUUGGUCACUGCUGGCAAGAAACACUUCUUGAGAUGCUGGGCACUAUCUGAGCUCCAGCUCUUUAUCUGGUUUUGGGGGUCAGCCAAAAACCUUCCCAUUCCUCCCACUCCCUACUUCUCCUCUCUGACACUACUGAUAUCCAAACAUCUUUACUGCUUAAGCUCAAAGUAGUCAGCAAGUUAGGGAUUCCCAUUUAUAGAUAUAUUUGCUCUGUCCAAAAUCAAUCAGGAACAAUGGAUAGCUUAGGAAUCCACUUGAAGAUUUGUUAAAAGAGGCAGUUUCCAUUACCAGGCUCCUAAUUUGCAAGUUGUUAGAAUAAUCCAUUCUCCUUCCCUGAACAACAACUCUAUCCAGGGGAUUCCUGGGGCCCAGGGGUUCUAGAGGGAAAGCUAGAUAGAUCUAGUCCUGAUUUAGUAAGAACAUCAGAAGACAUCCAAUUUCACGUUCCCUCCACAGAAUAAUUUUCCAAUGAGAAAUUCAUUAAUUAGUUCCCCUUUAAAAAAUGUAAAUAAUUAUAAAAUAUAAUUCACAACCUUUGCAUGAUGGAAUGAAGACAAAUUUAAAAAUUUCUUUUAUAUGCAGAAACAGAUCUAUUUCCCAAUUUUGCUAUAAUGGACACAUAUUAAUUAUAUAAUAAAAAAUAACUCAAAGGAAGGUUAAACCCCAUUCUCACCUUAGUGUAAAUUAUUCCCACUGAGAAUCCCUGACAGAAAUAACAAUAGCAACUAUGUAACACUUCCUACAUGCCAGAGUCUCAGCUAAUAUUAAUAAUCACAGCAGCAUUUCCUGAGGUUCAAGAGCCCCCAGGAAUCAACAGAUGAAUUUACAGACUAAGUUUCAGAAUUUAAAAACCUGUUUUCUAACGGUGAUGUGAGCCUCUAGUUCCAGCUACUCAGGAGGACUGUCUGAACCCAAGAGUUCCAGUCCAGCCUGGGCAGCAUAGUGAGACACUGUCUCUAAAAAUUUUUUUAAAUUAAAAACAAUUUUGAUUUUAGUCAAUGAAAAGCAUAUAGAGAUGUAUUAUCUAUACAUAUCAAUAUAUGUAUGAUAUGGAUGUGUAGCUAUAUAUAUCUAUAUGUGCUUUUCAUUGAACUAAAAGCAAAAUUAUAUGUGUCACCACAUAUUUUAUAUAUGUCACUGUGUGUGUGUGGGGGGGUGUAUGAGAUAAAGAUACAGAUAUAGGCCCCUCCUCACUCCUCAUCUUCCAUGUUCCCCAUUUUCCACCCACCUGGGGAGCCCUGAGCCACUGCCUAGAGGAGAAAUACCCAAGAGAGUCACCUGGCCUACAUCAGACAAAUGUGAACAAGAAAUAAAAUUAUUAGGCUGGGCGCGGUGGCUCAUGCCUGUAAUCCCAGGGGAGGAUUUGGGAGGUAGAGG
rnacentral:lncRNA from 1 species